AACGUAGGAGACGAACGUUAUCCGGAGUUACUGGGCGUAAAGGGCGUGCAGGCGGCUUGAUAAGUUCGGCGUGAAAUUUCCCGGCUUAACCGGGGGAUGUCGUCGGAGACUGUCGAGCUAGAGGGUGAUAGAGGCGUGUGGAAUUCCGGGUGUAGUGGUGAAAUGCGUAGAGAUCCGGAGGAACACCAGUGGCGAAGGCGACACGCUGGGUCAUACCUGACGCUAAAACGCGACAGCAUGGGGGAGCGAAACAGG
rnacentral:rRNA from 1 species